CAGUUACCGCAGAGUUUUUUCUUUUUGCGGUGGCUGGACGAACAUCUCAACACGUGAUGCAAGACACUACUAAUGUUCAGCCUCAGCAGCGAUGCCAAGACGAGAGAGGUUAGUCAUCCUGAGAACUUGAGAGGGAGACGGAAGCUCAUGCAACAGGCGAGCAAGUGGGAGCACCAGGGGCCUUUGUGUGUAGCGCGGCCAGGGCAGUGAGGGCAGCUGAGCACACAACUUCGCCAGCUGCUGGGGUCACGCACUUCCGGAGGCUCCCCUAGCGGCCUGUGUACGUGUUGCUUCAUCAUCGUCGUCAGCACCAUCAUCAAAAUCGUUAUCAUCACCAUCAUCGUCA